rnacentral:rRNA from 1 species
UACGUAGGGUGCAAGCGUUGUCCGGAAUUAUUGGGCGUAAAGAGCUCGUAGGCGGUUUGUCGCGUCUGCUGUGAAAACUGGAGGCUCAACCUCCAGCCUGCAGUGGGUACGGGCAGACUAGAGUGCGGUAGGGGAGAUUGGAAUUCCUGGUGUAGCGGUGGAAUGCGCAGAUAUCUGGAGGAACACCGGUGGCGAAGGCGACAUCCUGGACCGGUAUUGACGCUGAGGCGCGAAAGCCAGGGGAGCAAACGGG